CUUUGUAUUUCUUUCUUUGGUGUUAGUUGUUAUUUCUCCUCUUUCAUUUCUGAUUUUAUUUAAUUGGGUCCUUUCUCUUUUUUUCAUGAUGAGUCUGGUUAAAGGUUCAUCAAUCUUGUUUAGCUUUUCAAAGGAUCAGCUCUUGGUUUCUCUGAUCUUUUGUAUUGUUAUU